rnacentral:rRNA from 1 species
GGCAAAAGCUCAAAUUUGAAAUCUGGCACCUUCGGUGUCCGAGUUGUAAUUUGAAGAAGGUAACUUUGGAGUUGGCUCUUGUCUAUGUUCCUUGGAACAGGACGUCACAGAGGGUGAGAAUCCCGUGCGAUGAGAUGCCCAAUUCUAUGUAAAGUGCUUUCGAAGAGUCGAGUUGUUUGGGAAUGCAGCUCUAAGUGGGUGGUAAAUUCCAUCUAAAGCUAAAUAUUGGCGAGAGACCGAUAGCGAACAAGUACAGUGAUGGAAAGAUGAAAAGAACUUUGAAAAGAGAGUGAAAAAGUACGUGAAAUUGUUGAAAGGGAAGGGCUUGAGAUCAGACUUGGUAUUUUGCGAUCCUUUCCUUCUUGGUUGGGUUCCUCGCAGCUUACUGGGCCAGCAUCGGUUUGGAUGGUAGGAUAAUGACUAAGGAAUGUGGCUCUACUUCGGUGGAGUGUUAUAG